rnacentral:tRNA from 1 species
GUUAAAGUAGUUAAAAGAAUAACAGAGCUCUGAAGAUGCUAAGAUAGGGCGUUAAAUUCCCCUCUUUAACA